rnacentral:rRNA from 1 species
CAGCCGCCGCGGUAAUACGUAGGUGGCAAGCGUUGUCCGGAUUUAUUGGGCGUAAAGCGAGCGCAGGCGGUUUCUUAAGUCUGAUGUGAAAGCCUUCGGCUUAACCGGAGAAGUGCAUCGGAAACUGGGAGACUUGAGUGCAGAAGAGGACAGUGGAACUCCAUGUGUAGCGGUGAAAUGCGUAGAUAUAUGGAAGAACACCAGUGGCGAAGGCGGCUGUCUGGUCUGUAACUGACGCUGAGGCUCGAAAGCAUGGGUAGCGAACAGGAUUAGAUACCCUGGUAGUCCAUGCCGUAAACGAUGAAUACUAGGUGUUGGAGGGUUUCCGCCCUUCAGUGCCGCAGCUAACGCAUUAAGUAUUCCGCCUGGGGAGUACGACCGCAAGGUUGAAACUCAAAGGAAUUGACGGGGGCCCGCACAAGCGGUGGAGCAUGUGGUUUAAUUCGAAGCUACGCGAAGAACCUUACCAGGUCUUGACAUACUGUGCUAACCUAAGAGAUUAGGCGUUCCCUUCGGGGACGCAGAUACAGGUGGUGCAUGGCC